GGAAGUUAAUUUGAAACGCGAUUUUUUAUAAGUUAGCAGCUAUUAUCAUGCAUAUUCAGAGUUGUUUUGUGAACUUUCAACAUUCUACUAUUAAACUACAAAAAAUGGAAGAUUUUGCAACGAAUAUAAAACUUAUAUUGAGCGUCGAAAGAUUUUCCCGGUUUUUUCCCGAUUCGCCUCUCAAUCCCUAAUCGCCCCAUUUUACCGGUACCUACUUAUUUAUGUAGUUAGCUAAGUACGGUAUUGUAUUCAUAGUAAAUAUCAAGUAAUAGUGUUCUGUGGUAAAUAUUACCGGCUGUUAAACAAUUUAAACAUUCUAUCAAAAAUUUAAAAAUAUCCGCCCGUAUUGCACCAGCUACGAAAAGAGAUAAAUUAAUGAUAAGUGUAAUUAAUGUAUUUUAGAAAUAUGGAUAGUGUAGAAAAAAACCAUAAAAUCAAACAAGAAUUUGUCAUGGAACUUUUUUUAGACACCGAAAGUGUUUCUAUUGUCGAUAGAUUGGCUGCUGCUACAGCAAAUGUGAUAAACGAAAACCAUCAAAAUCUGACCAAAUUUAAUGAUCUUAUGAAAACAGAAUAUUAUCAGCUAUCACAGAUGAUGGUUCAAGAUUGCCAUUCCGGUGUACCUGUUGCCCAUAGGAUUAAAGGUUUCUAUGAAGAGACUAUUAGAAAAUUUGGUAAUAACGAAUACAUAGAGAGGUUUAAGAUGAAGAGGUCUACCGUUCAGGCUUUGAUUGCAUUUCUGAAACCUUAUCUAAAACCUGGAAAUGUACCAUUAGAUAAAAAAGUUCAUGUUUUUCUAUGGUUUAUGGUCAAUGAUUCUUCAUAUAGUGACAUAGGAAGAUUAUUUGGAUUACACAAGUCUUCAGUGAGUUACAUAUUCCACGAAAUUGCAUUACUGCUAACAGAAGAGAAGGAACGUUUCAUAAGUUGGCCAUCCGUUGAGAAGCAACAACUAAUCAGUAAUAAUGUCAAUAGCAGGUUUCGAUUUCCAAAUUGUGUGGGAUUUAUUGAUGCAUGUCGUCUAAAAGUUGGUUCUCAAAGAAAUAAAAGGGAAAAACCAGACAUAGUCCUCUUGCAAGCGGUUUGUGAUGAUUACUUGACAUUUGUAGAUAUACAUGUUGGAGAUAUUGGGAAAACUAAAAAGAGCAAAUUAUUCAAGGAUAGUUCACUUUCAAAUGAAUUAAAAAUAAAAGUGGAUUUUCAAAAGCACAUACUUGGUGAUUCAGAAUACAAACUUAAAAAAUAUCUGAUAACUCCCUUUACUAGUGAAGAAGUUUUGACAAGUGAAGAAAUGAAAUUUAAUGAAAUUCACUGGAAAACACGUAGUUAUAUAGCACAUGCAUUUGAGUUGUUAAAAGAAAGAUUCCGAAAACUUAAUCACAUAGAUGUUUUAAAACCAGAAUCUGUUAAUAUAUUAAUUAUUUCGGCUUGUGUACUUCACAACUUUGUAUUGUUACAUGAAGGCUGUUCGGAAGUCAAAGAAGAAUUGAUAACUUGUGAUGAUGGUGUUACUAUAAAUAGCAAUGUUGUCAAAACAGCAGAAGAGAAAAGACAGUUUUUAUGUAAUUACAUUGAAUACAUGGGUAUUGAAAAUAAUUAACAAAAUAAAUUAUAACGUUUUAAGGGUCUGAAAUAACAAUAAUACUAAAACUCGAAGAUUUUACACUUUUAUUAAUACUUAUUUGUUCAAGUUUAAAAAAUUGCUAAAAAAAUGAAAUUAAAAUAUACAAUAUCUGAUGUAAGUUACAACGGAAGCUGCAUAUCAUAUGUAAAAGAACUUAAAAGUGACUUUUGGAAAUGCAUCAUGGAUAUAGGUAAUGGCUCCAGGUAAUAGGGAUAUACUUGAAAAAAAAAUGGCGUUGGCGAGGCAGUGGCAGUCGUAAAGCACAAUCGCGCACAGUCGCGUGUAGCCUCGACACACUCGGCAGGAAUACUGGCGCGGCGCCCCUCUAUCUCUCCACUCCGAACUUGCCCGACAGGCUCUACCUCUCUACCUCAACAUGCGUGUGCGCCGAUGCCACGUUUUCGUCUCGCUACAGCGUUACCAGUUCGUAUAGGUACCUAAUACUUUUUUUUGUUUUCUGUUGAUGUUGAAUAUACGAACCACAGAAUAAAAACUUUUGUAUUAUAGUGGCUUUGAAAGCUUAAGUAAGCCCUUAUAUUAUAGUGUAGUCAAUAUUUGUGGCCGCAUGUCUGGUAUUUUAUUGCUUCAGUGUAAAGAAUAAUUGUGGUUAUUGAGUGAUUAAAUGUUAAUGACGAUUAAACGAUUACAUGCUCUGUA